UACGUAGGGUGCGAGCGUUAAUCGGAAUUACUGGGCGUAAAGCGUGCGCAGGCGGUUCGAGAAGUCAGCUGUGAAAGCCCCGGGCUUAACCUGGGAACUGCGUCUGGGACUGAGUGGCUAGAGUUCGGGAGAGGAGAGUGGAAUUCCCAGUGUAGAGGUGAAAUUCGUAGAUAUUGGGAAGAACACCGGUGGCGAAGGCGGCUCUCUGGACCGAGACUGACGCUGAGGCGCGAAAGCGUGGGGAGCAAACAGG
rnacentral:rRNA from 1 species